rnacentral:lncRNA from 1 species
CUGGCUCAUACUCAGGACUUGAGGUUAUUCUCUAGGUAAAGAUUCACAUCAAAUACUCUGUCACAAGAAUCUCAUUUCUUGAUCACAUAUUGUAAGCUGUAAAUGCACUCAAGUCCAUGCAACGUUAGAAAUAACAGCACGCUGAAUGGUUCUGGUACCUCAGGGGAGCAGUCCAGGCCAGACUUGGCAGUGGAGUUGCAUCACGGGCUGCUUUCCCGAUGGAGACGGAACAGGCAGACAACCUCCAUUAGAGACCAGCGCUGCGGUCCCAGCAGCUUGUCGGAAGUGGUGUUUGCAUUCCAGAGAGUAAUUGCACAUCACUAGAACAUGUCCCUUGCUGUCACAUGUGAUCCUUCAGCCCAGAAAGGAUGAGCAGGAACAUUCAUCCAUUGCUAGCCUGGUUCAAGCCAUGGGGGAAGUACAGUGGUUGCUGUUCUGCUGUGCUUGUAAAACAACACACAAGAGCAAAAUGCUUGGAUAGAACAAGCAACAAUAAAAAAAACAAGCAACCUGUGUUGCA